rnacentral:lncRNA from 1 species
AUAGGUUAGUGCAUUCCUGUGUUUGCUCACCAAAAUAGAACACUUUCAACCCACCUCAUUGUCAAUAAAAGUCAAGUGAAAAAACCAUCUUCACUAAAUGUGUCUGCUCAGAGCCAAUUGCAUGGGAAUCUCAAUGACCAGGUCCUUGCAGCAUCUGAGAUGUUGAGUCCCAUAUGUCAUAUGGACCUGUGAGUCUCCGAACAAACAAGACUUGGCAGCAGGCCCCAAAGGGAAAAAAUCAUCAUGAGAAACUCUGCUAAGAAGUAAACAAUUAAUACAAUAAAAAGAUGACCCACAGAAUGAAGCAGUGUGCAAAUCAUAUGU